rnacentral:rRNA from 1 species
UACGUAGGGUGCAAGCGUUGUCCGGAAUUACUGGGCGUAAAGAGCUCGUAGGUGGUUUGUCGCGUUGUUCGUGAAAACUCACAGCUUAACUGUGGGCGUGCGGGCGAUACGGGGCAGACUGGAGUACUGCAGGGGAGACUGGAAUUCCUGGUGUAGCGGUGGAAUGCGCAGAUAGUCAGGAGGAACACCGGUGGCGAAGGCGGGUCUCUGGGCAGUAACUGACGCUGGAGGAGCGAAAGCGUGGGGAGCGAACAGG